UACGUAGGGUGCAAGCGUUAAUCGGAAUUAUUGGGCGUAAAGGGUGCGCAGGCGGAUGUAUAAGUCAGAUGUGAAAUCCCCGGGCUUAACCUGGGAAUUGCGUUUGAAACUAUAUGACUAGAGUGUGGUAGAGGGGAGUGGAAUUCCAUGUGUAGCAGUGAAAUGCGUAGAGAUGUGGAAGAACACCGAUGGCGAAGGCAGCUCCCUGGAUUAACACUGACGCUCAUGCACGAAAGCGUGGGGAGCAAACAGGAUUAGAAACCCUAGUAGUCC
rnacentral:rRNA from 1 species